UCCUCUGAUAUUCACUCUCUUUCUCUCUCUCUCCACAGACAGCAGCUGGGACACAAGACACAGUUAGUUCACUUGACUUCCUCACCUCUUCGCUGGUUACAGCCUACGGUAAGUAUGAGGUUCACACUGUUCGUUUCUCUGGUAUUCACUCUCUUUCUCUCUCUCUCCACAGACAGCAGCUGGGACACAAGACACAGUUAGUUCACUUGACCUUCUCACCUCUUCGCUGGUUACAGCCUACGGUAAGUAUGAGGUUCACAACGUUCGUUUCUCUGGUAUUCACUCUCUUUCUCUCUCUCUCCACAGGCAGCAGCUGGGACACAAGACACAGUUAGUUCACUUGACUUUCUCACCUCCUCGCUGGUUAAAGCCUACGGUAAGUAUGAGGUUCACAACGUUCGUUCCUCGGGUAUGCACUCUCUUUCUUUCUCUCUCCACAGGCAGCAGCUGGGACACAAGACACAGUUAGUUCACUUGACUUUCUCACCUCUUUGCUGGUUACAGCCUACGGUAAGUAUGAGGUUCACAACGUUCGUUUCUCUGGUAUUCACUCUCUUUCUCUUUCUCUCCACAGGCAGCAGCUGGGUGCGGCGCCCUCCUGUUUCGGUCAGAUCUAUAGAUAGAUUUCUGGCGACGUCGGGGGCAACCCUCACGACGAGCUCGUUGGUCACAGGGGGGUGGACACGUCACGUCGUCUCACCAGGCCGAGCGCUGCCCUUCUCUGUCUGCCGUCUCGGCGAUCGUAUCCCGAGCAGGGGCGCCCCUUUGUAGAGACCCGGGACGGCGGAGUGCCUACACCUCACUCUCUGCAACAAGUGUACGGAGGCGGGGGUUUGUCUGACAAGACACACAGCAAUACACAGCAGUACACAGCAGUACACAGCACCACGUCAAAAGUGUAUGUUUCCACGACACAAAGACUCACCCACCACGCUCAAGUGUACAUAAAGGACGCCCGUCUCUUUACACGCUGCCCAGG